rnacentral:lncRNA from 1 species
CUCACUCUCUCUCCUCUCCUCCUCUCCUCUCAAAUCUCUCUGACUUCUCUCUAAAAACCUCUCCCUUCUCUCUACCCCUUCUCCUCUCUUAUCUCUUUCUCCUCCUCUCUCCUUCUUCUCUACCACCGCCCGCCGCCGCCGUUAUUUUUUUUUACCCUUUUUUUCUUUUUUUCUGCCUCUCCUCACCCUCCUUUUCUGGUCUC